rnacentral:rRNA from 1 species
CUCCGGUUGAUCCUGCCGGACCCGACUGCUAUCAGAGUGAGAUUAAGCCAUGCGAGUUAACGUAGCAAUACGUGGCGCACGGCUCAGUAACACGUAGUCAACAUGCCCAGAGGACGUGGAUAACCUCGGGAAACUGAGUCUAAACCGCGAUAAGUGAGGAUUUCUGGAAUGGUUCCUGACUAAAAUCUAUAUGGCCUCUGGAUUGGACUGCGGCCGAUCAGGCUGUUGGUGAGGUAAUGGCCCACCAAACCUGUAACCGGUACGGGCUCUGAGAGGAGGAGCCCGGAGAUGGGCACUGAGACAAGGGCCCAGGCCCUAUGGGGCGCAGCAGGCGCGAAACCUCUGCAAUAGGCGAAAGCCUGACAGGGUUACUCUGAGUGACUUUCGCUAAGAAAGUCUUUUGGCACCUCUAAAAAGGGUGCAGAAUAAGGGGUGGGCAAGUCUGGUGUCAGCCGCCGCGGUAAUACCAGCACCCCGAGUGGUCGGGACGAUUAUUGGGCCUAAAGCAUCCGUAGCCGGUUCUGCAAGUCCCCCGUUAAAUCCAGCUGCUCAACAGAUGGGCCGCGGAGGAUACUACAGAGCUAGGAGGCAGGAGAGGCAAGCGGUACUCAGUGGGUAGGGGUAAAAUCCGUUGAUCCAUUGAAGACCACCAGUGGCGAAGGCGGCUUGCCAGAAUGCGCUCGACGGUGAGGGAUGAAAGCUGGGGGAGCAAACCGGAUUAGAUACCCGGGUAGUCCCAGCCGUAAACGAUGCAGACUCGGUGAUGGGUUGGCUUCGCGCUAACCCAGUGCCGCAGGGAAGCCGUUAAGUCUGCCGCCUGGGGAGUACGGUCGCAAGACUGAAACUUAAAGGAAUUGGCGGGGGAGCA